AUGACCACCAUAUAUGACCUGAAGAAACAGAAGGAUAAACUGUUGAAGUUUUAUGCUGAAAGUGAUGAGCAGAUAUUAAUGAAAAAUAGAAAAACACUUCAUAAAGCUAAAAAUGAAGAUCUUGAUCGUGUAUUGAAAGAGUGGAUCCGUCAGCGUCGCAGUGAACACAUGCCACUUAAUGGUAUGCUGAUCAUGAAACAAGCAAAGAUAUAUCACAAUGAACUAAAAAUUGAGGGGAACUGUGAAUAUUCAACAGGCUGGUUGCAGAAAUUUAAGAAAAGACAUGGCAUUAAAUUUUUAAAGACUUGUGGCAAUAAAGCAUCUGCUGGUCAUGAAGCAACAGAGAAGUUUACUGGCAAGUUCAGUAAUGAUGAUGAACAAGAUGGUAACUUUGAAGGAUUCAAUAUGUCAAGUGAGAAAAAAAUAAUGUCUGACCUCCUUACAUAUACAAAAAAUAUACAUCCAGAGACUGUCAGUAAGCUGGAAGAAGAGGAUAUCAAAGAUGUUGUUAACAGUAAUAAUGAGGCUCCAGUUGUUCAUUCAUUGUCCAAUGGUGAAGUAACAAAAAUGGUUCUGAAUCAAGAUGAUCAUGAUGAUAAUGAUAAUGAAGAUGAUGUUAACACUGCAGAAAAAGUGCCUAUAGACGACAUGGUAAAAAUGUGUGAUGGGCUUAUUAAAGGACUAGAGCAGCAUGCAUUCAUAACAGAGCAAGAAAUCAUGUCAGUUUAUAAAAUCAAAGAGAGACUUCUAAGACAAAAAGCAUCAUUAAUGAGGCAGAUGACUCUGAAAGAAACAUUUAAAAAAGCCAUCCAGAGGAAUGCUUCUUCCUCUCUACAGGACCCACUUCUUGGUCCCUCAACUGCUUCUGAUGCUUCUUCUCACCUAAAAAUAAAAUAA
rnacentral:lncRNA from 1 species